rnacentral:rRNA from 1 species
AUGCGCGAUGCUGACGAUGAACCACCCAGGGACGCUCAAGUGCAGGCUUGUGAAUGGCCUUCAAAGGACUUCAUGGAUCAAGCAGGUAUCAAGGAAGAAUUUAACGCAUAUGUGUGUAACGCUGAUCUUGUGAGCUUCGAGGCAGAUAAGUGCCGUCAGUACCACUAUCUCACUGAUUCUUUUGUGAGGAGGUUUGAAUUUUCAUCUUCACGUAAUUCUCAAACUGUCCUGUUUGAUCUUUAUGAAAAUUCUUAUACUAUGAAUUUAGAGGAUUUUAAUACUGCUUGCAAACUUCCACAAUGGGGUAGUCCUAGUGAACCUCGCAAAUCUGAAUUUAGAGAUUUUCUUGCUAGUAUAACUGGGGGGAAUCUAGAGAUAUAG